AUGCUUUAUACAUGCAAGUCGAACGGAGGCCCUAGCUUGCUAGGUGUCCUUAGUGGCGCACGGGUGAGUAACACGUGGGAACAUACCUUAUAGUACGGAAUAACUGCGGGAAACUGUAGCUAAUACCGUAUACUCCAGUAAUGGGAAAGAUUUAUCGCUAUAAGAUUGGCCCGCGCAAGAUUAGCUUGUUGGUGAGGUAAAAGCUCACCAAGGCUUCGAUCUUUAGCUGGUUUGAGAGGACGAUCAGCCACACUGGGACUGAGACACGGCCCAGACUCCUACGGGAGGCAGCAGUAGGGAAUAUUGGACAAUGGGGGCAACCCUGAUCCAGCAAUGCAGCGUGAGUGACGAAGGCCUUAGGGUUGUAAAACUCUUUCAUCGGUGAGGAUAAUGACAGUAGCCGAAGAAGAAGGACCGGCUAAUUCCGUGCCAGCAGCCGCGGUAAUACGGAAGGUCCUAGCGUUGUUCGGAAUUACUGGGCGUAAAGCGCAUGUAGGCGGAACAGAAAGUUAGAAGUGAAAUCCCUGGGCUCAACCUAGGAAUUGCUUUUAAAACUUCUGUUCUGGAAUUCAGGAGAGGAAAAUGGAAUUUCCAGUGUAGAGGUGAAAUUCGUAGAUAUUGGAAGGAACACCAGUGGCGAAGGCGAUUUUCUGGACUGAUAUUGACGCUGAGAUGCGAAGGCAUGGGUAGCAAACGGGAUUAGAUACCCCGGUAGUCCAUGCAGUAAACGAUGGGUGCUAGUCGUCGGACUUUUGUUCGGUGUCGUAGCUAACGCGUUAAGCACCCCGCCUGGGGAGUACG
rnacentral:rRNA from 1 species